rnacentral:lncRNA from 1 species
GGCGCCCCCUUCCCCCCUGGGCUCUUCUGCGGGCUGCCCUUGGCCUCGGCCUGCCGGGCCUUCCAUGACCUCUGACCCCUCUUGGUGCGAACAAGGCCAGACAGACGUUUUGCAGCGGACAUGAAGGAGCUGUGUGCGCGCUGCGUGCCUCUCCUCGGCGUGUGGAGCGUGUGUGUUGUGUACCCGUUUGGGUCUGUGUAUCCCAGCGGGCUUUCUGCAAGUCUGGACCCUGGCUGCAGACUGCGCUGGUCAGGCCCUCACAGAGGAAGGGCCCAAAGCAGGAGCAAGAAAGAGUAAAGCCGCUGGGCUGGCCUGGCCUUCGCUGGAAGCGAGAGGCUGGUUUAGCGCACCCCUGCGCUGCCCCGGGAAACUUCCCAGAGGCCCACACCAGGCCAGGGGCCUGCCUGGCCUCAGCCCUCAGUCGGCUCCACCCCAGCCAGGUGGGUAAGGUUGCCUGGACCCCGGUUCUGCUCAGGACCCAGAGAGGGUGCCUGGCAGCUUAUCUGCGGCCUGGCGGGGAGGCCAGAGAAUCAGAGAAGUUAUCUGAUGGCAGCCCAGCAUGGAGGCUGCUUCUCUACUGGGGCACCCAGAGUGAGAGUCAGCACAGGCAAUCAGAGAGACUUGGAGUGGCUGCUGCUUCUAACGCCAGCUGUUGCUGCUGCUGCUGCUGCUGCUGCUGCUGCUGCUGCUGCUGCUGCUGCAUGUCCUGAGCUGCAGGGCCCAAGUGAGGUAGCUGGUCCAGCUUGGAAUCAGCCGUUGUUCCUCAAGCCUGUGACCUCCUGCGUCCACAGUGUCCAUUGUAGGCUGAGUUCCCCUAGCUCUUAUGCCCCUGAGCAAGAAAGGGUUGGCCUCUUCCUGCUCUGACUGUGCUCUUCUCCGGGUUUCAACACCAAAUCCUCACCGCCUGGAGGUGCCCUGGCCGUCCCACGGGCCAGCCUCUCCUGACUCGGAGGAACAAUGCCGGAGCUGGAAGACAGGAGAGCCGACCACUCGAGAUACAUAUUUAUUUAAUAGUUAACGUUUUGUGCAAAAAAAGGAGGGAAGUCGGAUUCUGGUGAGGGCUUUGCUUAUUUUAUAUCCACUAUAACUAUUUCUGUCCAUGAAAAUUGGCUUAAUUAUAUCAAUGGAAUGUUUCUUUUUCAAUUCUGUAUGCAAUUAGUCCAUCUUGCCGGCUGCAAUUUAUUUUAAUAAAAAAAUAAACCAGUGGUGUGUUCAGUUCCUCGUCCCCUGGGGACAAAUG